GCUGGCUGAAGAUCACAUAGCUAGUAAUUAUGGAGCUGGGACUGAACCCAGGCCUAACUCAUUUGAGAGCAUAACAAAUACCUAAGAUAAACAGCUUCUAACUUGCCCAGAUGACCAUGGGAAAUGAGGAAAAAUUGGAAACUAAGGAUAACUAUGUUGUUCCUGGUCUGAGUGACGUGGGGAAUGAAGAUCUGAUUAUCAAGGUCCUGGGUUUAUCCUAAGGCUGUUUCACACCAAAGCUCUACAGGAAGGACACCAAGUAGCAAAAAAAUGCAUGUCAAAUGGGAGAAACAAAGUAGUUUUCCUUGGCUCUGUGUUAUGAGAUUAUUAGAAAGACAAGGGAUAUCUCAGUGGCUUUCAAUCUGUGCUCUUAAGGAACUCCCAGUUUUAAAGCAUAGACCAUGAGCAGGGAUGAGCACUGUCUUUUACAAGCUGUUCUCUGAGUUUUAUUAAAUAUCAACAGAAGUUCAACAAUGUGAGAGAGACUUCAAACAUAAUCACUGCUGUUAGAAUAAGAGGAACAACCAGGAGCAAGACAACGUUACCCAUGCCAAGUCCUCAAUAAUCCUGAUGCAGAGCAGUCUGCAUGAAAAUUAGGACAAUUAUCUACUGUAAAUUAAUGUACUUUAAUAUUCAACCUCUAAUACACACAUAUUGCUUUGUUUUCACAGGAUUAAAUGAAUUGAAGGGAUUAUAAAUCCAUAUGCAGUGAUAAAUUUCUAGUAUUGAUUAAGCACUCAUCAGACAGGCCUCCUGCUAAGUGCUGUGCUUAUAUGAGUAAACAAGACAAAGUCCAGUCCUCAGAAAACCUGACAUUUACUACGUGUUAACAAACCAAGUCUCUGAGGAUGGGGAUGUAGACUUGAUUUUGAAUGAGCAAUUCCAGUGAAAGAAACAAGUCAUCCAGUUCUGGUUCUAAGAAAAGUAAUGGGUACAUGAGAGCACUGAGUGGAGCAUUCCGUAGGGAAGAAAUGGUAUAAAAAAAAGGAUUAAGGUUAAAUCAAAAUGUAGAACUAAAAGUAGUUUGAUACAUAACUACAGGUAGAAUUGUAUGUAUUCAUUUUCUGUUCACUUGUUUUUUUGAGACAGGGUCUCCCUUUGUAGUUCAGGCUGAACUUGAGCUUACUAUGUAGCCCAGCAGCUAGCCUGGAACUCACAGUGAUCCUUCUGCCUCAGCCUCCCAAGUGCUGUGAUUACAGGCAUGCAUGACCAUACCUGGCUUUAUUAAUAUUUAAUAAAAUUGAUUUGCUAAAAUUUAACAUCCAUUCAUGAUUUUUAAAUGCUAAAAAAGUUAGGUAUAGAAGAACAUCCCUCAACAUAAUUCACUCCAUAUAUAAUAAGCCAAUAUCUAACAUUAUAUUAAAUGGAGAAAAGCUGAAAACUUCCUAACAUCUGGAAUGAAACAAAAAUACCCACUUUUCACCACUUUUUUUCAACAUAGUUUUGGAAAUUCGAGCCUGAUCAAUCAGGCAAGAGAAAUCAAUAAAGAGCAUCCAAACUGGAAAAGAG
rnacentral:lncRNA from 1 species